rnacentral:rRNA from 1 species
GACGAACGCUGGCGGCGUGCUUAACACAUGCAAGUCGAACGGUAAGGCCCUUCGGGGUACACGAGUGGCGAACGGGUGAGUAACACGUGGGUGAUCUGCCCUGCACUUCGGGAUAAGCCUGGGAAACUGGGUCUAAUACCGGAUAGGACUCCUGGCUUCAUGGUUGGGGGUGGAAAGCUUUUGCGGUGUGGGGUGGGCCCGCGGACUAUCAGCUUGGUGGUGGGGUAAUGGCCUACCAAGGCGACGACGGGUAGCCGGCCUGAGAGGGUGACCGGUCACACUGGGACUGAGAUACGGCCCAGACUCCUACGGGAGGCAGCAGUGGGGAAUAUUGCACAAUGGGCGCAAGCCUGAUGCAGCGACGCCGCGUGAGGGAUGACGGCCUUCGGGUUGUAAACCUCUUUCAGCUAUGACGAAGCGCAAGUGACGGUAGUAGCAGAAGAAGGACCGGCCAACUACGUGCCAGCCGCCGCAGUAA